rnacentral:rRNA from 1 species
UACGGAGGGUGCAAGCGUUAAUCGGAAUUACUGGGCGUAAAGCGCACGCAGGUGGCUGAGAAAGUCGAUUGUGAAAGCCCUGGGCUUAACCUGGGAAUUGCAGUCGAAACUACUCGGCUAGAGUAUGGGAGAGGGUAGUGGAAUUCCCGGUGUAGCGGUGAAAUGCGUAGAGAUCGGAAAGAACACCAACGGCGAAAGCACUCUGCUGGGCCGACACUGACACUGAGAGACGAAAGCUAGGGGAGCGAAUGGG